GGAAUAUUGGUCAAUGGACGCAAGUCUGAACCAGCCAUGCCGCGUGCAGGAUGACGGUCCUAUGGAUUGUAAACUGCUUUUGUACAGGAAGAAACACUCCCUCGUGAGGGAGCUUGACGGUACUGUAAGAAUAAGGAUCGGCUAACUCCGUGCCAGCAGCCGCGGUAAUACGGAGGAUCCAAGCGUUAUCCGGAAUCAUUGGGUUUAAAGGGUCCGUAGGCGGUUUUAUAAGUCAGUGGUGAAAUCUGGUCGCUCAACGAUCAAACGGCCAUUGAUACUGUAGAACUUGAAUUACUUGGAAGUAACUAGAAUAUGUAGUGUAGCGGUGAAAUGCUUAGAGAUUACAUGGAAUACCAAUUGCGAAGGCAGGUUACUACGAGUACAUUGACGCUGAUGGACGAAAGCGUGGGGAGCGA
rnacentral:rRNA from 1 species